rnacentral:ncRNA from 1 species
UGGUUUAGAAGUAGAGAAUGUGCUGCUACGCACCCUUUGGGUCAAAAGAAAUGUGGAAUUGGCGCACCACCGUAACCA